UGUCAUGAUUCAAGAAACCAACCUAUCUAUGUUGACAGACACACAUGAGGAUAGCUUGAUCGAAGAAACAAAUCUAUCUCCGAAGAUAAAGUUUCAAAGUCAUAGCUUGAUCGAAGAAACCAACCUAUCUCCUUCGAUAGAUGUCACGGACCAGCACAAAGAUAGCUUUAUCAAAGAAACAGACCUAUCUCCGAAGAUAAAGUUUCAAAGUCAUAGCUUGAUCGAAGAAACCAACCUAUCUCCUUUGAUAGAUGUCACGGACCAGCACAAAGAUAGCUUUAUCAAAGAAACAGACCUAUCUCCAUUAACAGCUUCUCACAAAGUUAGCUUGAUGCAAGAAACUGCCUUACCUCCGAUAAUGUCUUCGGAC
rnacentral:lncRNA from 1 species